CAUUGGUGCAUAUAUAUGAUGCAAGAGCUGGUACAAAUGAUCCUAUAAUAUCUAAAGAGGUACAGUUGUGCCCCAUCAAAGUCAUGAAAUACAAUCAUGUCUUUGAUACUGUGAUAUCAGCAGAUGACAAAGGGAUCAUUGAGUACUGGAGUCCUGCCACACUUAAGUUCCCAGAGAAUCUGGUGAAUUUUAGAUUGAAGAGUGAUACUGAUCUCUUUGAAAUUGUGAAAUGCAAAACUGCUGUUUCUUCUAUAGAGGUAAGCCCUGAUGGUAAACAGUUCUCGGUAACUUCACCAGAUCGCAGGAUUCGUAUAUUUUGGUUCAAGACAGGUAAACUAAGACGUGUGUAUGAUGAAUCUCUUGAGGUGGCACAAGAUCUCCAGAGGAGUGAUGUUCCUUUAUACCGACUUGAAGCUAUUGACUUUGGACGAAGAAUGGCUGUGGAAAAAGAAAUUGAGAAAACAGAAUGUGUACCACAACCUAAUGCUGUUUUUGAUGAAAGUUCCAAUUUCAUUAUAUAUGCAACUCUCCUAGGAAUUAAAAUUAUAAAUCUACACACUAACAAGGUAUCUCGUAUCCUGGGGAAGGUGGAGAGCAAUGAUAGAUUUUUGAGAAUUGCUUUGUAUCAAGGUGAUAGAAGUAGUAAAAAAGUAAGAAAAAUCCCUGCUGCGGCAGCAAAUGCAAAUGAAAGCAAGGAGCCCUUGAUAGAUCCCAAUCUACUUUGCUGUGCUUUCAAGAAACAUAGAAUCUAUUUGUUCAGUCAGAGAGAACCUGAGGAACCUGAUGAUCCUACCAAGGGAAGAGAUGUCUUCAAUGAAAAGCCACCUCCUGAUGAACUUUUGGCCGUAUCUGACAUUGGGAAGUCCGUUACUACAUCCCUUCCAGAUAAUGUGAUCAUGCAUACCAGUAUGGGUGACAUUCAUAUGAAGCUAUACCCUGAAGAGUGUCCAAAAACAGUGGAGAACUUUACAACACACUGCAGGAAUGGAUACUAUGAUAAUUUGAUAUUUCAUCGGGUCAUCAGAGGCUUUAUGGUUCAG
rnacentral:misc_RNA from 1 species